AUUGAACGCUGGCGGCAGGCCUAACACAUGCAAGUCGAACGAGUGGCGGACGGGUGAGUAAUGUCUGGGAAACUGCCUGAUGGAGGGGGAUAACUACUGGAAACGGUAGCUAAUACCGCAUACCAUCAGAUUUGCCCAGAUGGGAUUAGCUAGUUGGUGGGGUAACGGCUCACCAAGGCGACGAUCCCUCGCUGGUCUGAGCGGAUGACCGGCCACACUGGAACUGAGACACGGUCAAGACUCCGACGUGAGGCAGCAGUGGGGAAUAGUGCACAAUGGGCGCAGUCCUGAUGCAGCCAUGCCGGGUGUAUGAAGAGGGCCUUCGGGUUGUAAAGUACGUUCAGCGGGGAGGCGUUACCCGCAGAAGAAGCACCGGCUAACUCCGUGCCAGCAGCCGCGGUAAUAC
rnacentral:rRNA from 1 species